AACAUCUAAGUACCCCGAGGAAAAGAAAUCAACCGAGAUUCCCCCAGUAGCGGCGAGCGAACGGGGAGCAGCCCAGAGUCUGAAUCAGCUUGUGUGUUAGUGGAACGGUCUGGAAAGUCCGACGGUACAGGGUGAUAGUCCCGUACACCAAAAUGCACAGGCUGUGAACUCGAAGAGUAGGGCGGGACACGUGGUAUCCUGUCUGAAUAUGGGGGGACCAUCCUCCAAGGCUAAAUACUCCUGACUGACCGAUAGUGAACCAGUACCGUGAGGGAAAGGCGAAAAGAACCCCGGCGAGGGGAGUGAAAAAGAACCUGAAACCGUGUACGUACAAGCAGUGGGAGCACCUUCGGGUGUGACUGCGUACCUUUUGUAUAAUGGGUCAGCGACUUAUAUUCUGUAGCAAGGUUAACCGUAUAGGGGAGCCGCAGGGAAACCGAGUCUUAACUGGGCGUUAAGUUGCAGGGUAUAGACCCGAAACCCGGUGAUCUAGCCAUGGGCAGGUUGAAGGUUGGGUAACACUAACUGGAGGACCGAACCGACUAAUGUUGAAAAAUUAGCGGAUGACUUGUGGCUGGGGGUGAAAGGCCAAUCAAACCGGGAGAUAGCUGGUUCUCCCCGAAAGCUAUUUAGGUAGCGCCUCGUGAACUCAUCUUCGGGGGUAGAGCACUGUUUCGGCUAGGGGGUCAUCCCGACUUACCAACCCGAUGCAAACUACGAAUACCGAAGAAUGUUACUCACGGGAGACACACGGCGGGUGCUAACGUCCGUCGUGAAGAGGGAAACAACCCAGACCGCCAGCUAAGGUCCCAAAGUCACAGUUAAGUGGGAAACGAUGUGGGAAGGCACAGACAGCCAGGAUGUUGGCUUAGAAGCAGCCAUCAUUUAAAGAAAGCGUAAUAGCUCACUGGUCGAGUCGGCCUGCGCGGAAGAUGUAACGGGGCUAAACUGUGCACCGAAGCUGCGGCAGCGACACUAUGUGUUGUUGGGUAGGGGAGCGUUCUGUAAGCCUGCGAAGGUGGCCUGUGAGGGUUGCUGGAGGUAUCAGAAGUGCGAAUGCUGACAUAAGUAACGAUAAUGCGGGUGAAAAGCCCGCACGCCGGAAGACCAAGGGUUCCUGUCCAACGUUAAUCGGGGCAGGGUGAGUCGACCCCUAAGGCGAGGCCGAAAGGCGUAGUCGAUGGGAAACAGGUUAAUAUUCCUGUACUUGGUGUUACUGCGAAGGGGGGACGGAGAAGGCUAUGUUAGCCGGGCGACGGUUGUCCCGGUUUAAGCAUGUAGGCGGAGGUUCCAGGUAAAUCCGGUACCUUUUUAACGCUGAGGUGUGAUGACGAGGCACUACGGUGCUGAAGUAACAAAUGCCCUGCUUCCAGGAAAAGCCUCUAAGCAUCAGGUAACAUUGAAUCGUACCCCAAACCGACACAGGUGGUCAGGUAGAGAAUACCAAGGCGCUUGAGAGAACUCGGGUGAAGGAACUAGGCAAAAUGGUGCCGUAACUUCGGGAGAAGGCACGCUGAUAUGUAGGUGAAGCCCCUGCGGGUGGAGCUGAAAUCAGUCGAAGAUACCAGCUGGCUGCAACUGUUUAUUAAAAACACAGCACUGUGCAAACACGAAAGUGGACGUAUACGGUGUGACGCCUGCCCGGUGCCGGAAGGUUAAUUGAUGGGGUUAUCCGUAAGGAGAAGCUCUUGAUCGAAGCCCCGGUAAACGGCGGCCGUAACUAUAACGGUCCUAAGGUAGCGAAAUUCCUUGUCGGGUAAGUUCCGACCUGCACGAAUGGCGUAAUGAUGGCCAGGCUGUCUCCACCCGAGACUCAGUGAAAUUGAACUCGCUGUGAAGAUGCAGUGUACCCGCGGCAAGACGGAAAGACCCCGUGAACCUUUACUAUAGCUUGACACUGAACAUUGAGCCUUGAUGUGUAGGAUAGGUGGGAGGCUUUGAAGCGUGGACGCCAGUCUGCGUGGAGCCAACCUUGAAAUACCACCCUUUAAUGUUUGAUGUUCUAACGUUGGCCCCUGACCGGGGUUGCGGACAGUGUCUGGUGGGUAGUUUGACUGGGGCGGUCUCCUCCCAAAGAGUAACGGAGGAGCACGAAGGUUAGCUAAUCCUGGUCGGACAUCAGGAGGUUAGUGCAAUGGCAUAAGCUAGCUUGACUGCGAGCGUGACGGCGCGAGCAGGUGCGAAAGCAGGUCAUAGUGAUCCGGUGGUUCUGAAUGGAAGGGC
rnacentral:rRNA from 1 species